rnacentral:rRNA from 1 species
GAUGAACGCUAGCUACAGGCUUAACGCAUGCAAGUCGAGGGGCAGCAUGGUCUUAGCUUGCUAAGGCCGAUGGCGACCGGCGCACGGGUGAGUAACACGUAUCCAACCUGCCGUCUACUCUUGGACAGCCUUCUGAAAGGAAGAUUAAUACAAGAUGGCAUCAUGAGUCCACAUGUUCACAUGAUUAAAGGUAUUCCGGUAGACGAUGGGGAUGCGUUCCAUUAGAUAGUAGGCGGGGUAACGGCCCACCUAGUCUUCGAUGGAUAGGGGUUCUGAGAGGAAGGUCCCCCACAGUGGAACGGAGACACGGUCCAAACUCCUACGGGGGGCAGCAGUGAGGAAUAUUGGUCAAUGGGCGAUAGCUUGAACCAGCCAAGUAGCGUGAAGGAUGACUGCCCUAUGGGUUGUAAACUUCUUUUAUAAAGGAAUAAAGUCGGGUAUGCAUACCCGUUUGCAUGUACUUUAUGAAUAAGGAUCGGUUAACUCCGUGCCAGCCGCCGCGGUAA